rnacentral:rRNA from 1 species
GAUGAACGCUGGCGGCGUGCCUAAUACAUGCAAGUCGAGCGAACAGACGAGGAGCUUGCUCCUCUUACGUUAGGGGCGGACGGGUGAGUAACACGGGGAUAACCUACCUAUAAGACUGGGAUAACUUCGGGAAACCGGAGCUAAUACCGGAUAUUAUAUUGAACCGUAUGUUUCAAUAGUUAAAUACGGUUUUGCUGUCACUUAUAGAUGGAUCCGCGCCGCAGUAGCUAGUUGGUAAGGUAACGGUUUACCCAGACAACGAUGCGUAGCCGAACUGAGAGGGUGAUCAGUCACACUGGAACUGAGACACGGUCCAGAAUCCUAAGGGAGGCAGCAGUCGGGAAUCUUCGGCAAUGGGCGAAAGCCUGACGGAGCAAAGCCGCGUGAGUGAUGAAGGUCUUCGGAUCGUAAAGCUAUGUUAUUAGGGAAGAACAAAUGUGUAAGUAAAUAGGCACGUCUUGACGGUACCUAAGGAGAAAGCCACGGCUAACUACGUG